rnacentral:rRNA from 1 species
UGUCGUCAGCUCGUGUUGUGAAAUGUUGGGUUAAGUCCCGCAACGAGCGCAACCCUUAUCCUUUGUUGCCAGCGGUCCGGCCGGGAACUCAAAGGAGACUGCCAGUGAUAAACUGGAGGAAGGUGGGGAUGACGUCAAGUCAUCAUGGCCCUUACGACCAGGGCUACACACGUGCUACAAUGGCGCAUACAAAGAGAAGCGACCUCGCGAGAGCAAGCGGACCUCAUAAAGUGCGUCGUAGUCCGGAUUGGAGUCUGCAACUCGACUCCAUGAAGUCGGAAUCGCUAGUAAUCGUGGAUCAGAAUGCCACGGUGAAUACGU